AUUGAACGCUGGCGGCAUGCCUACACAUGCAAGUCGAACGGCAGCACGGGUGCUUGCACCUGGUGGCGAGUGGCGAACGGGUGAGUAAUACAUCGGAACAUGUCCUGUAGUGGGGGAUAGCCCGGCGAAAGCCGGAUUAAUACCGCAUACGAUCUACGGAUGAAAGCGGGGGACCUUCGGGCCUCGCGCUAUAGGGUUGGCCGAUGGCUGAUUAGCUAGUUGGUGGGGUAAAGGCCUACCAAGGCGACGAUCAGUAGCUGGUCUGAGAGGACGACCAGCCACACUGGGACUGAGACACGGCCCAGACUCCUACGGGAGGCAGCAGUGGGGAAUUUUGGACAAUGGGCGAAAGCCUGAUCCAGCAAUGCCGCGUGUGUGAAGAAGGCCUUCGGGUUGUAAAGCACUUUUGUCCGGAAAGAAAUCCUUGGCCCUAAUACGGUCGGGGGAUGACGGUACCGGAAGAAUAAGCACCGGCUAACUACGUG
rnacentral:rRNA from 1 species